UGGGGAAUAUUGCACAAUGGAGGGAACUCUGAUGCAGCGACGCCGCGUUAACGAAGAAGGCUUUCGAGUCGUAAAGUUCUUUUAUAUGGGAAGAUAAUGACGGUACCAUAAGAAAAAGCCCCGGCUAACUACGUGCCAGCAGCCGCGGUAAUACGUAGGGGGCUAGCGUUGUCCGGAAUCACUGGGCGUAAAGGGUUCGCAGGCGGAAAUGCAAGUCAGGUGUAAAAGGCAGUAGCUUAACUACUGUAAGCAUUUGAAACUGCAUAUCUUGAGAAGAGUAGAGGUAAGUGGAAUUGUUAGUGUAGCGGUGAAAUGCGUAGAUAUUAAAAAGAAUACCGGUGGCGAAGGCGACUUACAGGGCUCAUUCUGACGCUGAGGAACGAAAGCGUGGGUAGCAAACAGG
rnacentral:rRNA from 1 species